GUGGUGGUGGUGGGCGCUGCUUGUCAGCCACACCAAAUUGGAUGGUGGUGUCCUACACUAAUCAUGGGGGGCAAUUUGCAGAGGACAGGUAACUGGAGCAGAUCUCUGGAAGAAUUAAGCCUGAAGGAAGAAGCCUGCAUACCAGAGAAUGCCAACAAUCAACUGCCAGCCGAAACAUCUGAUCAGCCAGGCCCAGACACCAACAGACAAAGAGAAAUGGAGCACUCCAGUCACCUAAAGGUCAGGAAGAAAAACAAAGAUAAACUAGUGAAAGGUGACAAAACACUUAGGAAGAAGCCAGGAAGAAACGACUUUCAGUUGCCACCCACCUGCCCAAGAAACUAUAAGAGAGCAGUAAGACCGACAAUAUUUUUAUGUUCUCACAAGACAAAUAAUACAAAGACUAAAACCCACCAUAGCCAAAACAAAAAACGUUGGAAUAUGAAACCAUUCCAAGUUACCUCCUGUGGAUCUAGAAAAUGUGAAGCCUGGGUUAGAAACUUAGAACAAGCUACAGCAGUUGUAGAAGUCAAUGUGGAGGAAAGAAAAGACAUUUGAGAUUGCAUCUAAAGCCAACAAGAAGUGUGCCAGUUGGCAGUUGAAAGAAAACAUUCAAGAUGAGGGAAAAAAAAAAGAAAUUAUAAUGGUAUAAAAAAGUAGAGCUAAUAGGUUCUCUUCUAGGAUUUAUAACCUUACCUGCUAUUGCCCUUGUAUUCCCCCGAGAACUUGAAGAAGAGACUUCCAAUCCAUCAAUAAUCAUCCUGAUAACAAUGCUGCCCCUAUUGUACCUGUGGCUCUAUUGUAACACAGCAAUCAUCAUUGCAGUUUCAAGGUACAUUGUUUGGCAGAGGCAUUUACACCUUCAAGAAGAUCUCUUCAUUCUCCUCCCUAAAGACUACUGAAAACUUGUUCUGGGUAACCUUCAACAUCAGGAAAUAAAGCUUCAUAUGUCAUCC
rnacentral:lncRNA from 1 species